rnacentral:misc_RNA from 1 species
UCAAUCCCGACCCCAACCAUCCACUCAGCCUCAACGGCAGCAACCCCAAGAAUCUUCAUUACAGUCUCAGCAUACAUCACAACAGCUUCCACAAUCUCCUGUGCAACCUGAACUGAACCAACCUAGAACUCAGCAAGAACUUCAUCCUCAGUCUCAACCGUUAUCACCACGUACUCAGACUCAGUUCCCACAGUACUCUGCUUAUCCACCUCCACCUUGGGCAGCAACUCCCGGAUAUCUGAGCAAUACAACAUCUAGACCAACCUACAUGUACCCAACUCCACAAGCAGCCACAAAUACACCCAUGUCUUUGCAAGCCACUAGACCCUUACAGAAUGUUAACUCGUUCCCUAAUAUGGGAAGCAAUGGUAUAGCUAUUAAUGGUGACACUCAAGUUCAUCCCCACCCCAAGACAACUCCUGCUUCUGGUCAAAAAACCUUCAUUCCAUCUUAUAGGCUGUUUGAAGAUCUUAAUGUUUUUGGCAACAGCGAUCAAAGACACAACUCAUCUUCUGGUUUAUCAGGAACUAACAGCCAAAGUAUGGUUGGUGGACGAAAAUGAGAAGCAUUUGUGGCACAUCUUCUAUACCAUGCUGUCAAUAUGAUGUACAUGAUUGGACCUUUCCCCACCCUUUCUACCCUCACUUGAUUUGGUUUUUUGGAGUUUGCAGGCAGGAUAGUGUUAUAAGAUUGAUUUUAAUUCUGGCUGUUGGCUGUUACAUUAUCCGUGUUUAUGUUAUGCCACAGUUAAAUAAUCUCUUAGGGUGAUAAGGUUUGAAAUCUGUUACUGAAGUUACCAUUGAGUUGAUUGAUUUUCCUCCCUUCUUUGUUAUGGGAUUGUCU